rnacentral:rRNA from 1 species
CUCAGGAUGAACGCUAGCGGCAGGCCUAACACAUGCAAGUCGAGGGGUAACAGGGAGUAGCUUGCUACUUUGCUGACGACCGGCGCACGGGUGCGUAACGCGUAUACAAUCUGCCUUGUACUGGGGGAUAGCCUUUAGAAAUGAAGAUUAAUACCCCAUAGUAUAUGACUGUGGCAUCACAGCCAUAUUAAAGGUUACGGUACAAGAUGAGUAUGCGUCCUAUUAGCUAGAUGGUGUGGUAACGGCACACCAUGGCGACGAUAGGUAGGGGCCCUGAGAGGGGGAUCCCCCACACUGGUACUGAGACACGGACCAGACUCCUACGGGAGGCAGCAGUGAGGAAUAUUGGACAAUGGAGGCAACUCUGAUCCAGCCAUGCCGCGUGCAGGAAGACUGCCCUAUGGGUUGUAAACUGCUUUUAUACGGGAAGAAACACCCCCACGUGUGGGGGCUUGACGGUACCGUAAGAAUAAGCACCGGCUAACUCCGUGCCAGCAGCCGCGGUAAUACGGAGGGUGCAAGCGUUAUCCGGAAUCAUUGGGUUUAAAGGGUCCGUAGGCGGACGAUUAAGUCAGAGGUGAAAGUCUGCAGCUCAACUGUAGAAUUGCCUUUGAUACUGGUUGUCUUGAAUUAUUGUGAAGUGGUUAGAAUAAGUAGUGUAGCGGUGAAAUGCAUAGAUAUUACUUAGAAUACCAAUUGCGAAGGCAGAUCACUAACAAUAUAUGGAC